rnacentral:rRNA from 1 species
AACCCUAGUUAAUAAAUUUCGGCGUAAAGCGUGUUAAAAAUACAAUCAAAAUAAGAUUAAACCUUAUCUAAGUUGUAAAAAACAAGAGAUAAAAAUAAGCCCAAUAACGAAAGUAAUCUUAAUAACUCUGCAUACACCAAAGCCAAGGCUCAAACUGGGAUUAGAUACCCCACUAUGCUUAGCCGUAAACAAAGAUAUUUCAUAACAAAAAUUUUCGCCUGAGAACUACUAGCAACAGCUUAAAACUCAAAGGACUUGGCGGUGCUUUAAACCCACCUAGAGGAGCCUGUUCUAUAAUCGAUAAACCCCGAUAAACCUCACCACUUCUAGCUAAGU